rnacentral:rRNA from 1 species
UAACGCGUGAGGAACCUGCCUUUCAGAGGGGGACAACAGCUGGAAACGGCUGCUAAUACCGCAUAAUGUACAGGGGGUCGCAUGGUCUCUGUACCAAAGAUUUAUCGCUGAGAGAUGGCCUCGCGUCUGAUUAGCUAGUUGGUGAGGUAAUGGCCCACCAAGGCGACGAUCAGUAGCCGGACUGAGAGGUUGGCCGGCCACAUUGGGACUGAGAUACGGCCCAGACUCCUACGGAAGGCAGCAG